rnacentral:snRNA from 1 species
UGGACUAGCGUCUGCAAA